UAAUACGGAGGGUGCAAGCGUUAUCCGGAUUCACUGGGUUUAAAGGGAGCGUAGGUGGGAUGGUAAGUCAGUGGUGAAAUCUCCGGGCUUAACUCGGAAACUGCCGUUGAUACUAUCAUUCUUGAAUAUUGUGGAGGUAAGCGGAAUAUGUCAUGUAGCGGUGAAAUGCUUAGAUAUGACAUAGAACACCGAUAGCGAAGGCAGCUUGCUACACAAUUAUUGACACUGAGGCUCGAAAGCGUGGGGAUCAAACAGGAUUAGAUACCCUGGUAGUCCACGCCCUAAACGAUGGAUACUCGACAUACGCGAUACACAGUGUGUGUCUGAGCGAAAGCAUUAAGUAUCCCACCUGGGAAGUACGACCGCAAGGUUG
rnacentral:rRNA from 1 species